GAGACUUUAGUUAAGUACAAUAACCGUAGACUGUCAGCCUACAAUCACAUCCUUGUAAGUCUUA
rnacentral:tRNA from 1 species